AUUCCCCUAGUAACUGCGAGUGAAGCGGGAAAAGCUCAAAUUUAAAAUCUGGUGGUCUUUGGCCAUCCGAGUUGUAAUUUAGAGAAGCGACUUCCGCGCUGGACCGUGCACAAGUCUCCUGGAAUGGAGCGUCAUAGAGGGUGAGAAUCCCGUCUUUGGCACGGACACACCAGGGCUUUUGUGAUGCGCUCUCGAAGAGUCGAGUUGUUUGGGAAUGCAGCUCAAAAUGGGUGGUGAACUCCAUCUAAAGCUAAAUAUUGGCGAGAGACCGAUAGCGAACAAGUACCGUGAGGGAAAGAUGAAAAGCACUUUGGAAAGAGAGUGAAACAGUACGUGAAAUUGUUGAAAGGGAAACGCUUGAAGUCAGUCGCGUCGACCGAGACUCAGCCUUGCCUUGGCUUGGUGUACUUCUCGGCUGACGGGUCAGCAUCAAUUUUGCCCCUUGGAUAAUGGCGAGGGAAAUGUGACACCUUUACGGUGUGUUAUAGUCUCUCGUCGCAUGCAAGGGUUGGGAUUGAGGAACUCAGCACGCACCUUUGGGUGUCGGGGUUUUGCCCACGAUACGUGCUUAGGAUGUUGGCGUAAUGGCUUUAAACGACCCGUCUUGAAACACGGACCAAGGAGUCUAACAUGCCUGCGAGUGUUCGGGUGGAAAACUCGUGCGCGCAAUGAAAGUGAAAGUUGGGACCUCUGUCGUGGAGGGCACCGACGCCCGGACCAGACCUUCUGUGACGGCUCUGCGGUAAAGCAUGUAUGUUAGGACCCGAAAGAUGGUGAACUAUGCCUGAAUAGGGUGAAGCCAGAGGAAACUCUGGUGGAGGCUCGUAGCGAUUCUGACGUGCAAAUCGAUCGUCAAAUUUGGGUAUAGGGGCGAAAGAC
rnacentral:rRNA from 1 species